GGAACGAACGCUGGCGGCAUGCCUAAUACAUGCAAGUCGAACGAACACUUCGGUGUUAGUGGCGCACGGGUGCGUAACGCGUGGGAAUCUGCCCUUGGGUUCGGAAUAACAGUUGGAAACGACUGCUAAUACCGGAUGAUGACGAAAGUCCAAAGAUUUAUCGCCCAGGGAUGAGCCCGCGUAGGAUUAGCUAGUUGGUGAGGUAAAGGCUCACCAAGGCGACGAUCCUUAGCUGGUCUGAGAGGAUGAUCAGCCACACUGGGACUGAGACACGGCCAGACUCCGUACGGGAGGCAGCAGUAGGAAUA
rnacentral:rRNA from 1 species